GAUGAAACACCAACUCCUGGCAGGUUGGCAGAUUCAGAUGCUACUCCUGCCGGUGGAGUUACUCCUGGGGCUACCCCUGCUGGAGUUACUUGGGAUGCGACUCCCAAAGGUUUGGUCACCCCAACCCCAAAAAGGCAGAGGUCACGUUGGGAUGAGACGCCAGCAACUAUGGGAAGUGCCACACCUAUGGCUGGGGCUACACCAGCAGCUGCUUAUACUCCUGGAGUUACUCCUGUGGGUGGGGUUGAUUUGGCCACUCCUACUCCAAAUGCCAUUAAU
rnacentral:misc_RNA from 1 species